AGAGUUUGAUCAUGGCUCAGGAUGAACGCUAGCUACAGGCUUAACACAUGCAAGUCGAGGGGAAACGACAUCGAAAGCUUGCUUUUGAUGGGCGUCGACCGGCGCACGGGUGAGUAACGCGUAUCCAACCUGCCCACCACUUGGGGAUAACCUUGCGAAAGUAAGACUAAAUACCCAAUGAUAUCUCUAGAAGACAUCUGAAAGAGAUUAAAGAUUUAUCGGUGAUGGAUGGGGAUGCGUCUGAUUAGCUUGUUGGCGGGGUAACGGCCACCAAGGCGACGAUCAGUAGGGGUUCUGAGAGAAGGUCCCCCACAUUGGAACUGAGACACGGUCCAAACUCCUAACGGGAGGCCA
rnacentral:rRNA from 1 species